GACGAACGCUGGCGGCGUGCCUAAUACAUGCAAGUAGAACGCUGAAGAGAGGAGCUUGCUCUUCUUGGAUGAGUUGCGAACGGGUGAGUAACGCGUAGGUAACCUGCCUUGUAGCGGGGGAUAACUAUUGGAAGCGAUAGCUAAUACCGCAUAACAAUGGAUGACACAUGUCAUUUAUUUGAAAGGGGCAAUUGCUCCACUACAAGAUGGACCUGCGUUGUAUUAGCUAGUAGGUGAGGUAACGGCUCACCUAGGCGACGAUACAUAGCCGACCUGAGAGGGUGAUCGGCCACACUGGGACUGAGACACGGCCCAGACUCCUACGGGAGGCAGCAGUAGGGAAUCUUCGGCAAUGGGGGCAACCCUGACCGAGCAACGCCGCGUGAGUGAAGAAGGUUUUCGGAUCGUAAAGCUCUGUUGUAAGUCAAGAACGAGUGUGAGAGUGGAAAGUUCACACUGUGACGGUAGCUUACCAGAAAGGGACGGCUAACUACGUGCCAGCAGCCGCGGUAAUACGUAGGUCCCGAGCGUUGUCCGGAUUUAUUGGGCGUAAAGCGAGCGCAGGCGGUUUGAUAAGUCUGAAGUUAAAGGCUGUGGCUCAACCAUAGUUCGCUUUGGAAACUGUCAAACUUGAGUGCAGAAGGGGAGAGUGGAAUUCCAUGUGUAGCGGUGAAAUGCGUAGAUAUAUGGAGGAACACCGGUGGCGAAAGCGGCUCUCUGGUCUGUAACUGACGCUGAGGCUCGAAAGCGUGGGGAGCGAACAGGAUUAGAUACCCUGGUAGUCCACGCCGUAAACGAUGAGUGCUAGGUGUUGGAUCCUUUCCGGGAUUCAGUGCCGCAGCUAACGCAUUAAGCACUCCGCCUGGGGAGUACGACCGCAAGGUUGAAACUCAAAGGAAUUGACGGGGGCCCGCACAAGCGGUGGAGCAUGUGGUUUAAUUCGAAGCAACGCGAAGAACCUUACCAGGUCUUGACAUCCCGAUGCUAUUUCUAGAGAUAGAAAGUUACUUCGGUACAUCGGUGACAGGUGGUGCAUGGUUGUCGUCAGCUCGUGUCGUGAGAUGUUGGGUUAAGUCCCGCAACGAGCGCAACCCCUAUUGUUAGUUGCCAUCAUUCAGUUGGGCACUCUAGCGAGACUGCCGGUAAUAAACCGGAGGAAGGUGGGGAUGACGUCAAAUCAUCAUGCCCCUUAUGACCUGGGCUACACACGUGCUACAAUGGUUGGUACAACGAGUUGCGAGUCGGUGACGGCAAGCUAAUCUCUUAAAGCCAAUCUCAGUUCGGAUUGUAGGCUGCAACUCGCCUACAUGAAGUCGGAAUCGCUAGUAAUCGCGGAUCAGCACGCCGCGGUGAAUACGUUCCCGGGCCU
rnacentral:rRNA from 1 species